rnacentral:rRNA from 1 species
UGCAGUCGACGAGAAGUUCCUUCGGGAGCGAUUAAAGUGGCGCACGGGUGAGUAACGCGUAGACAAUCUGCCCUUCAGUCUGGGACAACUUUUCGAAAGGAGAGCUAAUACCGGAUAACAAUGUUUAACCUAAGUUAAGUAUUUGAAAGCUUUAUGUGCUGAAGGAGGGGUCUGCGUCCCAUUAGCUAGUUGGUAAGGUAAAGGCUUACCAAGGCGACGAUGGGUAGCGGGUUUGAGAGGACGAUCCGCCACACUGGAACUGAGACACGGUCCAGACUCCUACGGGAGGCAGCAGUGGGGAAUAUUGCACAAUGGAGGCAACUCUGAUGCAGCAAUGUCGCGUGAGUGAAGAAGGCCCUUGGGUCGUAAAGCUCUUUUAUGGGGGAAGAUGAUGACGGUACCCCAAGAAUAAGCACCGGCUAACUAUGUGCCAGCAGCCGCGGUAAUACAUAGGGUGCGAGCGUUGUUCGGAAUUACUGGGCGUAAAGGGCGCGCAGGCGGAAUAGUAAGUCGGAGGUGAAAGCCCGGGGCUCAACCCCGGAGGGUCUUUCGAAACUGCUAAUCUAGAGAGGGUCAGGGGCCGGCAGAAUUCCUGGUGUAGAGGUGAAAUUCGUAGAUAUCAGGAGGAAUACCGGUGGCGAAGGCGGCCGGCUGGGGCCACUCUGACGCUGAGGCGCGAAAGCGUGGGGAGCAAACAGGAUUAGAUACCCUGGUAGUCCACGCCGUAAACGAUGAGCACUGGACGUCCGGAGGGUUCGACCCCUUCUGGGUGUUUCAGCUAACGCAUUAAGUGCUCC